AAGGAUGUUCUUCAACCUGAUCAAAUCUGGUCAUCAGACUGUUUUUGUCUGGCCUGUAAAGUUCUCACAAUAAAGCUCUCUGGAGCCCUGAAGAGUGCAACAGCAAGUGUCCUGUUUCAAGAAGCUCACCUGGAAUAAGAAUGAAUCUUAAAUUUCCCAAGACUUCUAAAAGGUUAGUUCUUUGCAAAGGAAUCUGAUGUAUCUUGCAAUCCAGAUAUUAAAUAUCCAUGUAGGGAAGAUAAUCUACAUCCUGAAAUAUCACAUUAAUAUUUGGGAUGGAAAUUUACUGAGAAGGAAUGAUGUGACUUUAAUCAGUUUGAUAAAUAUGAACAGAAAGGAAAAGCAUGAUGAUAGUUACCUGGAAGAAGAAGAUUGCCUAACUAAAGUUUGACAGUCUUAGAGCUAGGAUUAACUUUCCGAGAUCAGUUGAUUCUUUCCCUGUCUUAGAAAAAGAGUAAGUGUACCACAUCAUAAAUAAA